rnacentral:tRNA from 1 species
GCAGUCGUGGCCGAGUGGUUAAGGCGACGGACUCGAAAUCCAUUGGGAGCUUCCCGCGCAGGUUCGAAUUUUGCCGACUGCA